UGAGGAAUAUUGGUCAAUGGACGGAAGUCUGAACCAGCCAUGCCGCGUGAAGGAAGAAUGCCCUAUGGGUUGUAAACUUCUUUUGCCGCAGAGUAAUAAGGGGCGUGCGCGCCCCGAUGAGAGUAUGCGGCGAAUAAGCAUCGGCUAACUCCGUGCCAGCAGCCGCGGUAAUACGGAGGAUGCGAGCGUUAUCCGGAUUUAUUGGGUUUAAAGGGUGCGCAGGCGGACAGCUAAGUCAGCGGUGAAAUAUCCCGGCUCAACCGGGAGGCUGCCGUUGAUACUGGCUGACUUGAGUCCAAACGGCGCCGGCGGAAUAUGUAAUGUAGCGGUGAAAUGCAUAGAUAUUACAUAGAACACCGAUCGCGAAGGCAGCUGGCGAGGAUGGCACUGACGCUGAGGCACGAAGGCGUGGGGAUCAAACAGG
rnacentral:rRNA from 2 species